rnacentral:rRNA from 1 species
CAAUAGCGUAUAUUAAAGUUGUUGCGGUUAAAAAGCUCGUAGUUGGAUUUCUGCUUGGGAGGACCGGUCCGCCCUCUGGGUGAGCAUCUGGUUUAUCCUGGGCAUCUUCCUGGGGAACGUUGCUGCAAUUGACUUUGUGGUUCGGUACCCAGGACUUUUACUUUGAGGAAAUUAGAGUGUUUCAAGCAGGCAUCUGCCUUGAAUACGUUAGCAUGGAAUAAUAGGAUAGGACCUUGUCCCUACCUUGUUGGUUCGUAGAGAUGAGGUAAUGAUUAAUAGGGAUAGUCGGGGGCAUUCGUACUUAACUGUCAGAGGUGAAAUUCUUGGAUUUGUUAAAGACGAACUACUGCGAAAGCAUUUGCCAAGGAUGUUUUCAUUGAUCAAGAACGAAAGUUAGGGGAUCGAAGACGAUCAGAUACCAU